UAGGGAAUCUUCCACAAUGGGCGCAAGCCUGAUGGAGCAACACCGCGUGAGUGAAGAAGGGUUUCGGCUCGUAAAGCUCUGUUGUUAAAGAAGAACACGUAUGAGAGUUACUGUUCAUACGUUGACGGUAUUUAACCAGAAAGUCACGGCUAACUACGUGCCAG
rnacentral:rRNA from 1 species